AUUGAACGCUGGCGGCAUGCCUUACACAUGCAAGUCGAACGGCAGCACGGGAGCAAUCCUGGUGGCGAGUGGCGAACGGGUGAGUAAUAUAUCGGAACGUGCCCAGUAUGGGGGAUAGCCCGGCGAAGCCGGAUUAAUACCGCAUACGACCUGUGGGUGAAAGCGGGGGAUCGCAAGACCUCGCGCUAUUGGAGCGGCCGAUAUCAGAUUAGCUAGUUGUGGGGUAAAGGCCCACCAAGGCGACGAUCUGUAGCUGGUCUGAGAGGACGACCAGCCACACUGGAACUGAGAGACGGACCAGACUCCUACGGGAGGCAGCAGUGGGGAAUAUUAGGA
rnacentral:rRNA from 1 species